AAUUGCGGGGACCCGCACAAGCGGUGGAGCGUGUUGUUUAAUUCGAUGGUAAGCGAAGAACCUUACCCAGACUUGACAUCCUUGGAAGCACUGCGAAAGCAGAGUGUGCCUCCGGGAACCAAGUGACAGGUGUUGCAUGGCCGUCGUCAGCUCGUGUCGUGAGAUGUUUGGUUAAGUCCAUCAACGAGCGCAACCCUUGUGGCUAGUUGAAUUUUUCUAGUCAGACUGCCCUGGUAACAGGGAGGAAGGAGGGGAUGAUGUCAGGUCAGUAUUACCCUUACGUCUGGGGCUACAAACACGCUACAAUGGCCGGUACAAAGGGCUGCCAAGUCGCGAGACGGAGCAAAUCCCAUCAAAACCGGUCCCAGUUCGGAUUGCAGGCUGAAACUCGCCUGCAUGAAGUCGGAAUCGCUAGUAACGGUAGGUCAGCACACUACCGUGAAUACGUUCCCGGGUCUUGUACACACCGCCCGUCAAACCAUGAAAGUCGCCAAUACCUGACGUCUUAGCUAGUCUAGGCCUAAGGUAGGGGAGAUGAUUGGGGUUAAGUCGUAACAAGUACCAAUCAG
rnacentral:rRNA from 1 species